rnacentral:misc_RNA from 1 species
UCCAGUUUAUCACUGGCAGUCUCCUUAGAGUCCCCACCAUUACGUGCUGGCAACUAAGGAUAGGGGUUGCGCUCGUUACGGGACUUAACCCAACAUUUCACAACACGAGCUGACGACAGCCAUGCAGCACCUGUCUCUAGGUUCCCGAAGGCACACUCACCAUUACGUGAGCUUCCUAGGAUGUCAAGAGUAGGUAAGGUUCUUCGCGUAUCAUCGAAUUAAACCACAUGCUCCACCGCUUGUGCGGGUCCCCGUCAAUUCCUUUGAGUUUUAACCUUGCGGCCGUACUCCCCAGGCGGAGAACUUAUCGCGUUAGCUUCGACACUAAACCCUCAUUGGGGCCCAACAUCUAGUUCUCAUCGUUUAGGGCGUGGACUAC